GAUGAACGCUGGCGGCGUGCCUAAUACAUGCAAGUCGAGCGAACAGAUGAGGAGCUUGCUCCUUUGACGUUAGCGGCGGACGGGUGAGUAACACGUGGGUAACCUACCUAUAAGACUGGGAUAACUUCGGGAAACCGGAGCUAAUACCGGAUAACAUUUUGAACCGCAUGGUUCUAAAGUGAAAGAUGGUUUUGCUAUCACUUAUAGAUGGACCCGCGCCGUAUUAGCUAGUUGGUAAGGUAACGGCUUACCAAGGCAACGAUACGUAGCCGACCUGAGAGGGUGAUCGGCCACACUGGAACUGAGACACGGUCCAGACUCCUACGGGAGGCAGCAGUAGGGAAUCUUCCGCAAUGGGCGAAAGCCUGACGGAGCAACGCCGCGUGAGUGAUGAAGGUGUUCGGCUCGUAAAACUCUGUUAUUAGGGAAGAACAAACGUGUAAGUAACUGUGCACGUCUUGACGGUACCUAAUCAGAAAGCCACGGCUAACUACGUG
rnacentral:rRNA from 1 species